rnacentral:rRNA from 1 species
GAUGAACGCUGGCGGCGUGCCUAAUACAUGCAAGUCGAGCGAACAGAUGAGAAGCUUGCUUCUCUGAUGUUAGCGGCGGACGGGUGAGUAACACGUGGGUAACCUACCUAUAAGACUGGGAUAACUCCGGGAAACCGGGGCUAAUACCGGAUAAUAUUUUGAACCGCAUGGUUCAAUAGUGAAAGACGGUUUCGGCUGUCACUUAUAGAUGGACCCGCGCCGUAUUAGCUAGUUGGUAAGGUAACGGCUUACCAAGGCGACGAUACGUAGCCGACCCGAGAGGGUGAUCGGCCACACUGGAACUGAGACACGGUCCAGACUCCUACGGGAGGCAGCAGUAGGGAAUCUUCCGCAAUGGGCGAAAGCCUGACGGAGCAACGCCGCGUGAGUGAUGAAGGUCUUCGGAUCGUAAAACCCUGUUGUUAGGGAAGAACAAAUUUGUUAGUAACUGAACAAGUCUUGUCGGUACCUAACCAGAAAGCCACGGCUAACUACGUGCCAGCAGCCGCCGCCG